rnacentral:rRNA from 1 species
CCCUUAGAUGUUCUGGGCCGCACGCGCGCUACACUGAACAGUUCAACAAGUCUUAACCUUGGCCGACAGGCCCGGGCAAUCUUUGAACGCUGGUCGUGAUGGGGAUAGACUUUUGCAAUUUUUGGUCUUCAACGAGGAAUUCCUAGUAAACGCAAGUCAUCAACUUGCAUUGAUUACGUCCCUGCCCUUUGUACACACCGCCCGUCGCACCUACCGAUUGAAUGGUCCGGUGAAGCCUCCGGAUUGGCGCGCACCUCGGUGCCGCCGAGAAGUUGGCUAAACCUUACCAUUUAGAGGAAGGUGAAGUCGUAACA